GUUCGUAGUGACCUGCGGAGGAUCAUUACCAAAUAAAACAACCCAGGUGUCAGGGACAGCGACAAAGCUCGCUAGCCCUACGAGUUCAUCCAAUACCUUGGCCGCAAACGUGCCGGCCCCGGGGCCCUCGCCGCAGCUGACCCGGGCACCGCCGCUGAGCACCGCAGGAAGCGCGGGCCCAGCGAGCGCCGCCAUCUACGGGCGUCUGCGCGCGUGUGAAAAAAAAAAAAAAGAAAAAAAAACAACUUUAAGGGCUACCAGGUACCCCACGUUCAUCGGUCCUGCACAAAGGCACGGUGGCCCGUUCACCUUCACAAAACCCUCUGCGUACCCCUUCCAUGUUGCUUCCCCACGCCCCCUCUGGGCGCGGGGGAGGUCCGCACUUAAACACAGCAGCGCACGACCGCAGUCUGAUUGAAACACAGAAACAUGAGUUAAAACUUUCAACAACGGAUCUCUUGGUUCCCGCAUCGAUGAAGAACGCAGCGAAAUGCGAUAAGUAAUGUGAAUUGCAGAAUUCAGUGAAUCAUCGAAUCUUUGAACGCACAUUGCGCCCCCUGGUAUUCCGGGGGGCAUGCCUGUUCGAGCCUCAAUGAAACCUCUCCACCGCGUGAUCGCUCCCCUCUUACCAGAGAGAUGCAGAGGCGGCGGUGGGGUCGUGGCGGACGCACACGCCCCGAAAAGCGUGUGCGCCGCUGGAAUCAUCGGCCCGCAGGGCGCAGACCCGGCGUAUGUGAGUACCAUUCUCGCCGGUGACUGACGCCUCCCGGGACCUCAAAGCGCUCCGGCGUCGAACCCCAAAGUGGUGA
rnacentral:rRNA from 1 species